UCCAUUGAUUAGAGGGCCUUUAGUUCUUAUAUGGAGUGUCUCUUGGGUGCAAAAGAGGAUGUCAAAUUAUGGAUGCAAGGGCUCCAAUAGUUAGCACCUAAUGGGCUUCCUAAUGUAAGUUGGAUAACUUAAGUUAAUAGGAAUUCUAAUGCAAGUAGGACUUGUAUUUUGAAAUUGAAUAUGAUUCAAUCUCUGUGCCUAUAAAAAGGAACCUCCCCUA
rnacentral:lncRNA from 1 species